rnacentral:rRNA from 1 species
UUAAUUGAAGAGUUUGAUCAUGGCUCAGAUUGAACGCUGGCGGCAGGCCUAACACAUGCAAGUCGAGCGGUAACAGAAAGUAGCUUGCUACUUUGCUGACGAGCGGCGGACGGGUGAGUAAU